rnacentral:rRNA from 1 species
CCUACGGGUGGCAGCAGUGGGGAAUAUUGCACAAUGGGGGAAACCCUGAUGCAGCGACGCCGCGUGAAGGAAGAAGUAUCUCGGUAUGUAAACUUCUAUCGGCAGGGAAGAAAACGGACGGUACCUGACUAAGAAGCCCCUGCUAACUACGUGCCAGCAGCCGCGGUAAUACGUAGGGGGCGAGCGUUAUCCGGAUUUACUGGGUGUAAGGGGAGCGUAGACGGCUUGGCAAGCCUGAUGUGAAAGGCGGGGGCGCAACCCUGGGACUGCAUUGGGAACUGGCCGGCUGGAGCGCCGGAGGGGUAAGCGGAAUGCCUGGUGUAGCGGUGAAAUGCGUAGAGAUUAGGAGGAACACCAGUGGCGAAGGCGGCUUACUGGACUGUAACUGACGUUGAGGCUCGAAAGCGUGGGGAGCAAACAGGAUUAGAUACCCCAGUAGUC